UUCAACAACGGAUCUCUUGGUUCUCGCAUCGAUGAAGAACGCAGCGAAAUGCGAUACGUAAUGUGAAUUGCAGAAUUCCGUGAAUCAUCGAAUCUUUGAACGCACAUUGCGCCCCUUGGUAUUCCAGGGGCAUGCCUGUUUGAGCGUCAUUUCCUUCU
rnacentral:rRNA from 2 species